rnacentral:rRNA from 1 species
GGGUUGUGAGGUUAAGCGACUAAGCGUACACGGUGGAUGCCCUGGCAGUCAGAGGCGAUGAAGGACGUGCUAAUCUGCGAUAAGCGUCGGUAAGGUGAUAUGAACCGUUAUAACCGGCGAUUUCCGAAUGGGGAAACCCAGUGUGAUUCGUCACACUAUCAUUAACUGAAUCCAUAGGUUAAUGAGGCGAACCGGGGGAACUGAAACAUCUAAGUACCCCGAGGAAAAGAAAUCAACCGAGAUUCCCCCAGUAGCGGCGAGCGAACGGGGAGCAGCCCAGAGCCUGAAUCAGUGUGUGUGUUAGUGGAAGCGUCUGGAAAGGCGCGCGAUACAGGGUGACAGCCCCGUACACAAAAAUGCACAUGCUGUGAGCUCGAUGAGUAGGGCGGGACACGUGGUAUCCUGUCUGAAUAUGGGGGGACCAUCCUCCAAGGCUAAAUACUCCUGACUGACCGAUAGUGAACCAGUACCGUGAGGGAAAGGCGAAAAGAACCCCGGCGAGGGGAGUGAAAAAGAACCUGAAACCGUGUACGUACAAGCAGUGGGAGCACAGAGCAAUCUGUGUGACUGCGUACCUUUUGUAUAAUGGGUCAGCGACUUAUAUUCUGUAGCAAGGUUAACCGAAUAGGGGAGCCGAAGGGAAACCGAGUCUUAACUGGGCGUUAAGUUGCAGGGUAUAGACCCGAAACCCGGUGAUCUAGCCAUGGGCAGGUUGAAGGUUGGGUAACACUAACUGGAGGACCGAACCGACUAAUGUUGAAAAAUUAGCGGAUGACUUGUGGCUGGGGGUGAAAGGCCAAUCAAACCGGGAGAUAGCUGGUUCUCCCCGAAAGCUAUUUAGGUAGCGCCUCGUGAAUUCAUCUCCGGGGGUAGAGCACUGUUUCGGCAAGGGGGUCAUCCCGACUUACCAACCCGAUGCAAACUGCGAAUACCGGAGAAUGUUAUCACGGGAGACACACGGCGGGUGCUAACGUCCGUCGUGAAGAGGGAAACAACCCAGACCGCCAGCUAAGGUCCCAAAGUCAUGGUUAAGUGGGAAACGAUGUGGGAAGGCCCAGACAGCCAGGAUGUUGGCUUAGAAGCAGCCAUCAUUUAAAGAAAGCGUAAUAGCUCACUGGUCGAGUCGGCCUGCGCGGAAGAUGUAACGGGGCUAAACCAUGCACCGAAGCUGCGGCAGCGACGCUUAUGCGUUGUUGGGUAGGGGAGCGUUCUGUAAGCCUGUGAAGGUGUGCUGUGAGGCAUGCUGGAGGUAUCAGAAGUGCGAAUGCUGACAUAAGUAACGAUAAAGCGGGUGAAAAGCCCGCUCGCCGGAAGACCAAGGGUUCCUGUCCAACGUUAAUCGGGGCAGGGUGAGUCGACCCCUAAGGCGAGGCCGAAAGGCGUAGUCGAUGGGAAACAGGUUAAUAUUCCUGUACUUGGUGUUACUGCGAAGGGGGGACGGAGAAGGCUAUGUUGGCCGGGCGACGGUUGUCCCGGUUUAAGCGUGUAGGCUGGUUUUCCAGGCAAAUCCGGAAAAUCAAGGCUGAGGCGUGAUGACGAGGCACUACGGUGCUGAAGCAACAAAUGCCCUGCUUCCAGGAAAAGCCUCUAAGCAUCAGGUAACAUCAAAUCGUACCCCAAACCGACACAGGUGGUCAGGUAGAGAAUACCAAGGCGCUUGAGAGAACUCGGGUGAAGGAACUAGGCAAAAUGGUGCCGUAACUUCGGGAGAAGGCACGCUGAUAUGUAGGUGAAGCGACUUGCUCGUGGAGCUGAAAUCAGUCGAAGAUACCAGCUGGCUGCAACUGUUUAUUAAAAACACAGCACUGUGCAAACACGAAAGUGGACGUAUACGGUGUGACGCCUGCCCGGUGCCGGAAGGUUAAUUGAUGGGGUUAGCGCAAGCGAAGCUCUUGAUCGAAGCCCCGGUAAACGGCGGCCGUAACUAUAACGGUCCUAAGGUAGCGAAAUUCCUUGUCGGGUAAGUUCCGACCUGCACGAAUGGCGUAAUGAUGGCCAGGCUGUCUCCACCCGAGACUCAGUGAAAUUGAACUCGCUGUGAAGAUGCAGUGUACCCGCGGCAAGACGGAAAGACCCCGUGAACCUUUACUAUAGCUUGACACUGAACAUUGAGCCUUGAUGUGUAGGAUAGGUGGGAGGCUUUGAAGUGUGGACGCCAGUCUGCAUGGAGCCGACCUUGAAAUACCACCCUUUAAUGUUUGAUGUUCUAACGUUGACCCGUAAUCCGGGUUGCGGACAGUGUCUGGUGGGUAGUUUGACUGGGGCGGUCUCCUCCUAAAGAGUAACGGAGGAGCACGAAGGUUGGCUAAUCCUGGUCGGACAUCAGGAGGUUAGUGCAAUGGCAUAAGCCAGCUUGACUGCGAGCGUGACGGCGCGAGCAGGUGCGAAAGCAGGUCAUAGUGAUCCGGUGGUUCUGAAUGGAAGGGCCAUCGCUCAACGGAUAAAAGGUACUCCGGGGAUAACAGGCUGAUACCGCCCAAGAGUUCAUAUCGACGGCGGUGUUUGGCACCUCGAUGUCGGCUCAUCACAUCCUGGGGCUGAAGUAGGUCCCAAGGGUAUGGCUGUUCGCCAUUUAAAGUGGUACGCGAGCUGGGUUUAGAACGUCGUGAGACAGUUCGGUCCCUAUCUGCCGUGGGCGCUGGAGAACUGAGGGGGGCUGCUCCUAGUACGAGAGGACCGGAGUGGACGCAUCACUGGUGUUCGGGUUGUCAUGCCAAUGGCACUGCCCGGUAGCUAAAUGCGGAAGAGAUAAGUGCUGAAAGCAUCUAAGCACGAAACUUGCCCCGAGAUGAGUUCUCCCUGAC